rnacentral:tRNA from 1 species
UAGGGGAUUAGUUUAACUGGCAAAAUGUCGGCCUCCAAAACCGCACGUUGAGGGUUCGAAUCCCUCAUCCCCUGUCAA